rnacentral:tRNA from 1 species
GCUAGUAGCUCAGCUGGUUAGAGCGCACGCUUGAUAAGCGUGAGGUCGGAGGUUCAAGUCCUCCCUGGCCCACCAUG